rnacentral:rRNA from 1 species
AGCUUGCUUCUUUGAGACUUAGCGGCGGACGGGUGAGUAACACGUAGGCAACCUGCCCUUUAGCCUGGGAUAACUACCGGAAACGGUAGCUAAUACCGGAUACUUUCUUUUUCUGCAUGGGAGAAGAACGAAAGACGGAGCAAUCUGUCACUGAAGGAUGGGCCUGCGGCGCAUUAGCUAGUUGGUGGGGUAACGGCUCACCAAGGCGACGAUGCGUAGCCGACCUGAGAGGGUGAUCGGCCACACUGGGACUGAGACACGGCCCAGACUCCUACGGGAGGCAGCAGUAGGGAAUCUUCCGCAAUGGGCGAAAGCCUGACGGAGCAACGCCGCGUGAGUGAUGAAGGUUUUCGGAUCGUAAAGCUCUGUUGCCAGGGAAGAACGUCUUGGAGAGUAACUGCUCCGAGAGUGACGGUACCUGAGAAGAAAGCCCCGGCUAACUACGUGCCAGCAGCCGCGGUAAUACGUAGGGGGCAAGCGUUGUCCGGAAUUAUUGGGCGUAAAGCGCGCGCAGGCGGCCGUUUAAGUCCGGUGUUUAAUCCCGAAGCUCAACUUCGGGUCGCACUGGAAACUGGAGGGCUUGAGUGCAGAAGAGGAGAGUGGAAUUCCACGUGUAGCGGUGAAAUGCGUAGAGAUGUGGAGGAACACCAGUGGCGAAGGCGACUCUCUGGGCUGUAACUGACGCUGAGG